rnacentral:rRNA from 1 species
GAUGAACGCUAGCUACAGGCUUAACACAUGCAAGUCGAGGGGUAACGAGAGGAAAGCUUGCUUUCCUUGUCGACGACCGGCGCACGGGUGAGUAACGCGUAUCCAACCUGCCCCCAACUAGGGAAUAACCUUGCGAAAGUAAGACUAAUACCCUAUAAUUUCCUCAGAUGACAUCUGACGAGGAAUAAAGAUUUAUCGGUUGUGGUGGGGGAUGCGUCUGAUUAGCUUGUUGGCGGGGUAACGGCCCACCAAGGCAACGAUCAGUAGGGGUUCUGAGAGGAAGGUCCCCCACAUUGGAACUGAGACACGGUCCAAACUCCUACGGGAGGCAGCAGUGAGGAAUAUUGGUCAAUGGGCGAAAGCCUGAACCAGCCAAGUAGCGUGCAGGAUGACGGCCCUAUGGGUUGUAAACUGCUUUUAUACAAGAAUAAAGUUAGCCACGUGUGGUUAUUUGUAGGUACUGUAUGAAUAAGGACCGGCUAAUUCCGUGCCAGCCGCCGCGGUAA